rnacentral:lncRNA from 1 species
CACGAUCCACUCAUUAGCUACUCAGUCUUCAUCCACACUCUUCUAUGCAUAUUUGAAUUUCAAGUUACUUCUCCAGAUUGGAAUAAAAUAGAGAAUGAAUUGUUUCUCCAGCUUGGGGUAAAAGAUAUCCUUAAUAUUUUAAUUUUUCUAAUUAGCCACCCCUCAUACUUAUGUUAACAACGAGUCCAAUAUCCUCCCUCUUCAGAGCUCCGACCUCUCUGAAGAUUAUACGUGAACGUGAACCCCAGGGUAAGACUUUAAGCUCUGAUCAAAGGGGAUACUUUGACUUUCAAAUACAGGUAAAGAGAGAAUUAAUGAUUUGGAGACUAGCUCACCUGGUGCAACGAGUCCAAUAUCCUCCCUCUUCAGAGCUCCGACCUCUCUGAAGAUUAUACGUGAACGUGAACCCCAGGGUAAGACUUUAAGCUCUGAUCAAAGGGGAUACUUUGACUUUCAAAUACAGGUAAAGAGAGAAUUAAUGAUUUGGAGACUAGCUCACCUGGUGGCUUGGAACAGCUUUUGUUGGCUUCUGAGUAUCCUGCCUGCCUGCAGUUCGGGCCCCCUCCAUGACUCUAGCCUCUGCCUUCUGUUCAGUGAUGAUUUCCA